UUUGGUUGUAACGCUGAAAAUUGAAGUUUUCCUUUUCCCUUUCCAAAACCCUAAGUUCAACCAUGGCCGCACACCUCUUUCCCCAUCGUUUAAUUUCCUUUUCAUUCUUCAUGUUUACAUCUUCUCUUUGAACAACCCUAACGGAGACUCUCCUAAUCCAGCAGAUCGAUUUUCAUCUGAUAUGUUUUUGACGGGUUAGGGUUUUUCAAUUCCCAUCAGUAGAGAAGAAGAUGAAGGUUAGUAUAUGCUUCUGAAUGUUUGAUUCUAAGCAUGGCCCUUCUUGAUUGCUGUAUCUCAUAUUGAUUUAAGGUGGGGGAUCACCCGGAUAUCAUGUUUUAGGUUAGGGUUUUUCAAAGUCUUGAUUAUUACAUGUUAAGUUGGCUAUUGUGGUUAAGAAUCAGAGUUUCUUUUCUUCCUCCUUCAUCAUCUUAUGUAAACCCUAAAGGAAUUCACACCAGUUCUUCGAGGAUUACUGGUUCAUUCUAAUCGGGGUUUCCUUUUCUCUUCCAUUGUUUUCUUUAAACCCUAGAAUUGAUUGUUUUUUUGUUGAGGCUUGAUAUUUGUUCAUGAUAUUUUCUAAAUUUGACUCUGUAUGUUUCAAGUUUUGUUUAUGGACAACUGAUUUGCAGCAGCUUUAG
rnacentral:lncRNA from 1 species